rnacentral:lncRNA from 1 species
AUGCCGCUGGAGCUCGCUGGCCGAGCGGACGCAGCCCCCGAUCACCUCCUCCAGCUGCCGCAGCCGUGGGGCACCCUCGCCCAGGGGGCAGGCGUCGGGGGACGCCGUUGGGUCUGCAACAACAGCACUAUCACGUCAGGGUCGCUGCGGCGAUCCCGGCCCCAUGUCAGCCUGCCCACUCCAGCCAUGGCCUCACCCCACGGGGCAGUGAUGGGGAGCAGGGUACUGGCAAGGUCAGUGGGUGAAGGCAGUAUGAGGAGUGGGGCAGGUCGCUGCCCCCAGCAGGGGGCGCUGCGGGCAGGAGGACUGGCCGUGUGGCGGGUCGCUGGCCCGCCCAGCAGGGGGCGCUGCGGGGCAGGAGGACUGCUGUGCAGUGGGUCGUUGCCCCCCAGGAGGGGGCGCUGCGGGGGCAGGAGGACUGGCCGUGCAGUGGGUCGUUGCCCCCAGCAGGGGGCGCUGCGGGGGCAGGAGGAACUGGCCGUGUGGCGAGUCGCUGCCCCCAGCAGGGGCGCUGCUGGGGUAGGAGGAGCUGGCCGUGUGGCGGUCGCUGCCCCCAGCAGGGGGCUCUGCGGGGGCAGGAGAACUGGCCGUGCGGGCAGGUCGCUGCCCCCAGCAGGGGCUGUGGGGGGCAGGAGGACUGGCUGCCAGGCGGUCGCUGCACCCGGCAGGGGCGCUGCGGGGCAGGAGGCUGGCCGUGCGGGUGGGUCGCUGCCCCAGCAGGGGGCGCUGCGGGGGCAGGAGAACUGGCCGUGCAGUGGGUCGUUGCCCCCCAGCAGGGGGCGCUGCGGGGCAGGAGAACUGGCCGUGCAGGCAGGUCGCUGCCCCGGCAGGGCUCUGCGGGGGCAAGGAGGACUGGCUGCGCGGGCGGUCGUCACCCUGGAGGGGCGCUGUGGGGCAGGAGGACUGGCCGCACGGGCGGGUCGCUGCCCCCCGGCAGGGGCGCUGCGGGGGCAGGAGAACUGGCCGUGCGGUGGGUUGUUGCCCCCAGCAGGGGGUGCUGCGGGGCAGGAAACGGCGUUGCCGGUGGGUUGUUCCCCCAGCAGGGGGUGCUGGUGCUGCUCUGCCCUCCCCUGCUCACCUGCCACGCGCAGGUGA